GGUUCCUUAGGAACUUUCAUAUUGUUUAUUGUCACUAAUGUAUCUUUUGAUAAACUUGUUUACUUACUAUCAUGAUCAACUUGAAUUUAAGCAUAGUUUUAUGGGUACCUCAAAUAUGUACCUUGUCCCUUUGUUGGUCUAGAUUUAUGGUGGUUCUAAUUGAUAAGGGUUGUGGUUAAGCUUUACUUUUUCAGUUUCAGAGUAUAACCACGUGCCUGCACAUGUAAUCUUUCUAAUGGUUACUGGGUCUUGUUAAUUCAUCCUCCUUUCCUUUUUGCAUGCAGAUAAAGAAGCACCUUAAUCUUUUUCUUGGUAUCCUAUUUUCUUAUUGAACAGAUUUGAUGGCCUUCAAUUAAUGCCUUUUCGGAAUUCUGGUUUCUGACUAGUUCGUCUCACCAACCAUCAAUACAAGCCUUUUGCUAAAAUUAAGUAAAAUUUCCAGAUAAUCACUAUUAUGGGUGAUUUUUCAGUUCAGAUUAGUUCUAACCUUGUUAAUAGACUUACUGAUGAUGGUGAGAAGUUAAAGAGGAAACCAAAGAAAACUAAAACUAAGGUACCCCGAGAAUUUGUCCAUCCCAAAACUAAGGUGAAUGAAAAGCAACUUCGUGAUGAUCCUGAAACACUCAAAGGGGUUCCUUCUACGGGAUGGCCAGUACAACCUCCAUUGUUCUUGCCAGUAACCCCACCAGCUUAUUCUGCGAACACAGAGUUAGAUGCAAUUAGAUCUGUCAUUCAAGAAAGUGAAAGGAUUCUGGAAAAGUUGCAGAAGCAGGAGGAUAGCAUGGUGCAAGAAGUAACUGAAAGAGCCAAGGAUCUUCGUGAUAAGGAGUUCAAGCUUCCGUAUCAGAAGCCUAUGCCCUGUUUGGGUGAUUAUGAAGCUUGCCGGGCAUGCUACAAGGAGCAUGGUAAUGAUAUUUUGAAGUGUGCUCCUUUAACUAGGAGCUAUUAUGAUUGUGUUCGCAGAGUCAAGCAGCAUGUAAGUUUGGCUGGUCAAUAGUUUUUCAUGAAGGGAAAUUUUUCCAAUUCAUCAUAUACAUGAUUCCAAGCCAAUUGCUAGUUUGAGAGAUGAGCUAAUUACAUUUUCGGAGUGCAAAUAAACCAAACAUUUGAUUCUUAUUGCUGUUAUCGGAAUAUAUGCUGUGCUUCAUGAUGUCAUUUAGGAUUUUGUUAAAUCCAUUGCUUCUUUUUAUCCCAGAGCUAUGUUUUAGUUGGCUUCCAAUAAGUCAAUUUUCAGUUUGGACAUUGUACUAAGCUUUUGAUGCCUGCACAUUUCUACAUCACAGCUUUGUGCUGUUGAAAUCAGAAUGCUUCUUAUUGCCCGCCCAAUGAAAUAUUAGAUACAUGACACUUUUCACAAUCUUUUAUCAUGGAGAAUUGCUUGUGCUGUUAUAUUACUAUAUUGUGUUUACAGUCAUCCAAGAAAGUUGAUAUGCUCUCAUAUGGCAUCCUCUUUGGUUAUCAUACAAGUAAUUUGAUUUCAACAGGGUGGGUUAAUCUCUCAAGUAAAUUCAUAAUUGAAUUUACAAAUACUUGAAUAGUUGAUCAAUUGGUGUUUCAAACCUGAUUGGAUAGUAUGCUAUGAGGUAGUGUCAUAAUCAUUCAAGUUUGCUAAUGGGUGAACAAUGAUUAUACUCAGUUUGGAUUUGAUUACAGAUCUUAUAUUCAGGGAGACUGGAGAAAUGAUCGAGCAAAAUACUUUUUCUUUGUUUCUUCUUGGGAGCAGGUUCAAAAAAAUUGUCGUUCAUAUAUUCUUUGGAGUAGAGCAACUGGAACUGAAAUGUUUGCCCAAGUACAUUGACAAGGAGCUGACUAAUAUCUCGGUUCUUCGAUUCUAUGAAUUUUUUAGUGUAAUUUUAUCUUUCACUUUUCUUGAUGAUGACUUGGUUGAAAUUGUCCAGGAAAAACGUCCAAGCUAGUGGCCUAGUUAUUUGAGCAUUAUUUAGAUGGUGAGCGCUUUAGGGGGCAGCAGGUACGAAAUUGGUGAUUCUAAUUUAAGGUUUAGGAGGAUUGGAUUCGGACUACAAGGUAUUUUAAAAGAAAAUAAAAAUGAUGAGCAAUGAAGUUUUGGAUUGUUUUGAAAUUGAAGAAUACUAUGCUGGCUAUUCCAACGCCAAGGUUAUCUGAUCCAACAAUAUAUGAAUUAAGUCUUAACUCUGCUCAUAAUUAUUGUACAUCAAGUCGUGAGCCGUCAAACCAACAGGAAAAAUGUUGCUUUUGAAGAGCAAAAGACACAGAAAAGAAGAGAAAUCCUAGAGGUUUGUGAUGCAGUCUGCUAUAUUCUAUGUUUCUGAUAAUAUUGUGACGGUUAAAUUAAAUCCCAUUUGCAGACUUUGUCGAACUGGUAUCUCCUUUAUGC
rnacentral:misc_RNA from 1 species